rnacentral:rRNA from 1 species
GAUGAACGCUGGCGGCGUGCCUAAUACAUGCGAGUCGAGCGAACGGACGAGAAUCUUGCUUCGCUUAUGUUAGCGGCGGACGGGUGAGGAACACGUGUAUAACCUACCUAUAAGACUGGGAUAACGUCGGGAAACCGGAGCUAAUACCGGAUAAUAUUUUGAACCUCAUGGUUCAAAAGUGAAAGACGGUCUUGCUGUCACUUAUAGAGGGAUCCUCGCUGCAUUAGCUAGUUGGUAAGGUAACGGCUUACCAAGGCAACGAUGCGUAGCCGACCUGAGAGGGUGAUCGGCCACACUGGAACUGAGACACGGUCCAGACUCCUACGGGAGGCAGCAGUAGGGAAUCUUCCGCAAUGGGCGAAAGCCUGACGGAGCAACGCCGCGUGAGUGAUGAAGGUCUUCGGAUCGUAAAACUCUGUUAUUAGGGAAGAACAUAUGUGUAAGUAACUGUGCACAUCUUGACGGUACCUAAUGAGAAAGCCACGGCUAACUACGUG